rnacentral:rRNA from 1 species
AUACGUAGGGGGCGAGCGUUGUCCGGAAUGAUUGGGCGUAAAGGGCGCGUAGGCGGCCCGGUAAGUCUGGAGUGAAAGUCCUGCUUUUAAGGUGGGAAUUGCUUUGGAUACUGUCGGGCUUGAGUGCAGGAGAGGUAAGUGGAAUUCCCAGUGUAGCGGUGAAAUGCGUAGAGAUUGGGAGGAACACCAGUGGCGAAGGGGACUUACUGGACUGUAACUGACGCUGAGGCGCGAAAGUGUGGGGAGCAAACAGGAUUAGAUACCCUGGUAGUCCACACUGUAAACGAUGAAUGCUAGGUGUAGGGGGUAUCGACCCCUUCUGUGCCGCAGUUAACACAAUAAGCAUUCCGCCUGGGGAGUACGGCCGCAAGGUUGAAACUCAAAGGAAUUGACGGGG